AUAUGAUAGGCUUACAAACGAGACUUUCCACAUAGGCCUAGAAGGAGGCUACUGUCUCUCUCUGUAGCCUAACAUAUGAUAGGCUUACAAACAAGACUUUCUACAUAGGCCUAGAAGCAGGUUACUGUCUUUCUCUGUAGCCUAACAUAUGAUAGGCUUACAAACGAGACUUUCCACAUAGGCCAAGAAGCAGGUUACUGUCUAUAGCCUAACAUAUGAUAGGCUUACAAAUGAGACUUUCCACAUAGGUCUAGAAGCAGGUUACUGUCUAUAGCCUAACAUAUGAUAGGCUUACAAACGAGACUUUCCACAUAGGCCUAGAAGGAGGUUACUGUCUUUCUCUGUAGUCUAACAUAUGAUAGGCUUACAAAUGAGACUUUCCACAUAGGCCUAGAAGCAGGUUACUGUCUUUCUCUGUAGCCUAACAUAUGAUAGGCUUACAAACGAGACUUUCCACAUAGGCCUAGAAGCAGGUUACUGUCUUUCUCUGUAGCCUAACAUAUGAUAGGCUUACAAACGAGACUUUCUACAUAGGCCAAGAAGCAGGUUACUGUCUAUAGCCUAACAUAUGAUAGGCUUACAAAUGAGACUUUCUACAUAGGCCUAGAAGGAGGUUACUGUCUUUCUCUGUAGCCUAACAUAUGAUAGGCUUACAAACGAGACUUUCCACAUAGGCCUAGAAGCAGGUUACUGUCUUUCUCUGUAGCCUAACAUAUGAUAGGCUUACAAACGAGGCUUUCCACAUAGGCCAAGAAGCAGGUUACUGUCUAUAGCCUAACAUAUGAUAGGCUUACAAAUGAGACUUUCCACAUAGGCCUAGAAGCAGGUUACUGUCUCUCUCUGUAGCCUAAUAUAUGAGAGGCUGACAAACACAGCACAAAAACACCUCAUGAACAUUGGCACAAAUUCUCGGUAACUCCAUUGCCAACGUUGCCAGAUUAUCGUACUCAAAGCAUAGUAUUCCCAGGUUUCUAGCGCCUAACUAUUGCCAAGAAACAUCAGGAAAUAACUCUUUUAACGAUAAAUAUAAAUGAGUUUCGUUACUGCGUCCCAGAAGACAGUUUUUGGGGUAGGCAGUCGGGAAAAACAAGAGGCAGUUUACGACAAUCUGACAUCAUUGAUCAUUGCCAACCUUUCCACUCGGCCCCAAGCGAAAGGCAGUGUGUUCAGUGUCGCCAGAGAGGAGAGCAAACCUUUACACCAGCGUUAACCAUUGACAAAUAGACGUACAUUGUAGACUCGCCGACUCGCCCUCCCUGGCAAUACUUACGGUAGCGCCAAGGUGAGUGCGUUCCCUUACUCCCUUACUCAUGGUGGGGACGGGUGGUAAACUGACCCCUUCUAGUGAUAGCAAAGGCAUAAUAAUAAUAAUAAUAGUAAUAAUAAUAGCAGUAGGAUUAAUAGCUAGGAUGGAAUGACAGUUUUCGGCAUUGUUUUGUUAUCCUGAAAUCGUCACAAAAUAUUGGUCUGGUUGAAUUUUUUUUGUGCCGAUAAACACACACACACACACACACACACACACAC